GACGGAGGGGGCUAGCGUUGUUCGGAAUUACUGGGCGUAAAGAGCACGUAGGCGGCGGUGUAAGUUGGGGGUGAAAUCCCGGGGCUCAACCCCGGAACUGCCUCCAAAACUACUAGUCUUGAGAUCGUGAGAGGUGAGUGGAAUUCCGAGUGUAGAGGUGAAAUUCGUAGAUAUUCGGAGGAACAUCAGUGGCGAAGGCGGCUCACUGGCACGAUACUGACGCUGAGGUACGAAAGUGUGGGGAGCAAACAGG
rnacentral:rRNA from 1 species